UCUUUCUAAGAUCAGGAAGGACAUAGAAGGAUAAUCUUACCUCGCUCAAAUCCAUCAACAAAGCAUUUGCCGAAAAUGUCAGACCAACGGAAGUUAAAUCAAGAGUCUAGAUUAUUCCUUGCAAAAUCAAAAACAAUUGAAGCAAAUCUCAGGAAAAACGCAGCUUCAUUAAAUUGAAGAAAGAAAUAAGAGAAAACUGAAGACAUAAAAUAAAGACAACGGAACACCCACGAAAACUAUAAAUAGAAAUAGAAAUACAAAGAAUAUAACUGAAAUUUCAUACCCUAAUUGACAUACCGCCCUAAACUACUGUAAGCCGUCCAAAAGAUGAACAAUUACAACGAAAAAACUACCAUGUUUUUUGAUAGCGCUUGGUACUAGUGGUAUAGGACAAUCAGCAAAAUCACAGAGAGAGAUCGAAGGAGAA
rnacentral:lncRNA from 1 species